UUGGGACUGCCGACACA
rnacentral:misc_RNA from 1 species